AGAGUUUGAUCCUGGCUCAGGAUGAACGCUGGCGGCGUGCCUUAGGCAUGCAAGUCGAACGAAGUUGAUAGCAAUAUCAACUUAGUGGCAGACGGGUGAGUAACGCGUAGGAAUCUACCCCUAGGAGGAAGAUAGCCCGCCGAAAGGCGGGGUAAUAUUCCAUAGUCUAGUUUACUAGUAAAGAGCUUAACUGCUCGCCAAGGGAGGAGCCUGCGUCCUAUCAGCUUGUUGGUAAGGUAAUGGCUUACCAAGGCAAUGACGGGUAGCUGGACUGAGAGGUCGAUCAGCCACAACUGCACUGAGACACGGGCAGUACACCUACGGGUGGCAGCAACCAGGAAUAUUGCGCAAUGGACGAAAGUCUGACGCAGCGACGCCGCGUGGAGGAAGAAGGCUUUAGGGUCGUAAACUCCUUUUGCCAAGCCGUUCACAGCUUGGCGAAUAAGCCUCUACUAACUACGUGCCAGAAGUCUCGGUAAUACGUAGGAGGCAAGCGUUAUCCGGAUUCAUUGGGCGUAAAGUGUACGUAGGCGUCCUUGAAAGUCAUAUCUUAAAGAUCGAGGCUCAACCUCGGGAAUGGAUAUGAUACUGCAAGGAUUGAGGAUUGACAGGGAUGUCGGAACAGUUGGUGUAGCAGUGAAAUGCGUUGAUAUCAACUGGAACACCGAAGGCGAAGGCAGACAUCUGGGUUUUUCCUGACGCUGAGGUACGAAAGCUAGGGUAGCAAAACGGAUUAGAUACCCGUGUAGUCCUAGCCGUAAACGAUGUUCGCUAGCUCUAUCAAGCUUGCUUGAUGGGGCGCAAGCUAACGCGUUAAGCGAACCGCCUGGGGAGUACGGCCGCAAGGCUAAAACUCAAAGGAAUUGACGGGGACCCGCACAACCGGUGGAGCGUGUGGUUCAAUUCGAGACAAAACGAAGAACCUCACCAGGGCUUGACAUGUAACUGGAGUCUUGGGAAACCAAGAUGCUUUCGAAGCUGUUACACAGGUGCUGCAUGGCUGUCGUCAGCUCGUGCCGUGAGGUGUUCCCUUAAGUGGGGAAACGAGCGCAACCCUUGUUCAAUGUUAGAUUAUUCAUUGGAGACGGUCCCGCACAAUGCGGGAAGGAAGGAGAGGAAGACGUCAAGUCAGCACGGCCCUUAUGCCCUGGGCUACACACACACUACAAUGGCGAAAAACAAUGAGCAUUGCGACACGGUAACGUGAAGCUAAUCUCAGAAAUUUCGUCUCAGUUCGGAUUGUGGUCUGCAACUCGACCACAUGAAGUCGGAAUCGGUAGUAAUCGCGGAUCAGCAAGCCGCGGUGAAUACGUUCUCGGGUCUUGUACACACCGCCCGU
rnacentral:rRNA from 1 species